rnacentral:sRNA from 1 species
GAUGUAUUGGUUUUUCUUUUACAAGUACAGAUUAGGCUCAAAAGUAACAUUAGAGAUGAUCUUAUCACAGUGCUGCCAGAGGACACAGAGUGUCUCCGAAAGAUUGGAGCAGCAGGCUGUACUUGUAUAUUACAUGCAUCUCCAUGGGGGCUAACUCUUGCUCUUGAG